UUCCAGACUCCUACGGGAGGCAGCAGUGAGGAAUAUUGGUCAAUGGCCGGGAGGCUGAACCAGCCAAGUCGCGUGAGGGAUGACGGUCCUACGGGUUGUAAACCUCUUUUGUCGGGGAGCAAAGAGAGUCACGUGUGGCUCAUUGAGAGUACCCGAAGAAAAAGCAUCGGCUAACUCCGUGCCAGCAGCCGCGGUAAUACGGAGGAUGCGAGCGUUAUCCGGAUUUAUUGGGUUUAAAGGGUGCGUAGGCGGAAUAUCAAGUCAGCGGUAAAAAUUCGGGGCUCAACCCCGUCGUGCCGUCGAAACUGAUGUUCUUGAGUGGGCGAGAAGUAUGCGGAAUGCGUGGUGUAGCGGUGAAAUGCAUAGAUAUCACGCAGAACUCCGAUUGCGAAGGCAGCAUACCGGCGCCCAACUGACGCUGAAGCACGAAAGCGUGGGUAUCGAACAGGAUUAGAUACCCUUGUACC
rnacentral:rRNA from 1 species